rnacentral:tRNA from 1 species
AAGGAAUUAGUUAAAUUAUAACAUUAGAAUGUCAAACUAAAAUUAUUAAUCAUUAAUAUUCUUUA